CGAACGCUGGCGGCAGGCCUAACACAUGCAAGUCGAACGAACCUUUCGGGGUUAGUGGCGGACGGGUGAGUAACACGUGGGAACGUGCCUUUAGGUUCGGAAUAACUCAGGGAAACUUGUGCUAAUACCGAAUGUGCCCUUCGGGGGAAAGAUUUAUCGCCUUUAGAGCGGCCCGCGUCUGAUUAGCUAGUUGGUUGAGGUAAUGGCUCACCAAGGCGACGAUCAGUAGCUGGUCUGAGAGGAUGAUCAGCCACAUUGGGACUGAGACACGGCCCAAACUCCUACGGGAGGCAGCAGUGGGGAAUCUUGCGCAAUGGGCGAAAGCCUGACGCAGCCAUGCCGCGUGAAUGAUGAAGGUCUUAGGAUUGUAAAAUUCUUUCACCGGGGACGAUAAUGACGGUACCCGGAGAAGAAGCCCCGGCUAACUUCGU
rnacentral:rRNA from 1 species